rnacentral:rRNA from 1 species
GUGAAUCAUCGAAUCUUUGAACGCACAUUGCACUUGUCCUUGUGGCAAGUAUGCCUGUUUGAGAAUCAUAAACACCACACACCUUGCGUUCAGUAUGGUGAAUCAGACAUGGCGAUUCAGCAUGUGCUGAUUGCUGAAAUUGAUUAGAUUGGUUGAUUGCUGCUGGAUCGGGUCGCAAUGAGAUGGAGACAACUGGUCUUGCUUGAACUGUGAACCCCAUUGCUGACUUGGUGCAUCCAUCGGCAGUCUGCGCGCCAGUCUCACAACGACCCACUUAAUAUACCAAUUUGGUCUCAAAUCAGGCAAGACUACCCGCUGAACUUAAGCAUAUCAAUAAGCGGAGG